rnacentral:lncRNA from 10 species
CUCUUACCUGCUAUAUAGUUGGGGGUCUCUGGUCCUGGACUAGAGCAGUAGGCAACCUGGGUCCCCCCACACACACGGGAAAGAAUUGGAGGGGCCUGCCUUGUGAUGUCACCCCUCCUCCCCCCACCGCGCGCACGCGCGCGCGCACACACACAAACACAAACACACACCCCAACACACACGCCCUGUCCCCUUUCUCCACCCUGCAAGCUAGUUGCAUUUAGCUCACAGAGCCUGGGCUGCGACUUGAAAGAGUUUAGGCAGCAACAGAGUGACCCUGGGGGUGCUCUUGACCGACAGCCGCACCCCCGGCGUCUAGGACCUCCGAGCAGGGAUGCAUCUGGAGGUCUAGGGAAGCACUUCCACCCCCUCCUCUCCUCAAUCCUGGCAGGAUGUGCCCGAAAUGCCAGCUCCUCCUUGGUGUUCUCCUUUCAGGAUUUGAAUUCAAAUCCCAUUGGCAGCCCUGAUACCGCUGGGGGAAGGGUGAGGUAGGAAAAGUCCCACCAAUAUCCUAAGGGGAGGUGCGAGUGGCUACCAGGAUGUGAGAUGUCUGUGGGCAAAGUCCCUGCUUAUUCCAUGAGGGGCUGUGGGAUUAGGACUGUGGCUGGAUGCCUCUUCCUCCAACAACUCCAUCUCAGCAUGAAGCUGAGGCUUUAAAACCCUGACAAACUGUGGGUGACUGUCUCUACUUAAUUCCUCCUCCCAAACUCUUGGUGUCUGGUUUUUUCCCUCUUUCUGCCCUGGGCCUGGAGCAGCUGUCCAGAGACCCCCACCAUGACUCAUACUCUCCUGUUCUCCCUCCCUCUCCCCUCUCUAUUAACCUCACCCUUCCCAAUCCAGUGGGGUAGUAUUAAGUCCCAGUCGCAGAUGGGGCAAUAAUGUCCCAGCACCCCUCCCUCCACACACCCAGGGCUUCCUGUUCUUUCCACCCUCACCCUGAAGAGCUGCAGGGUGGUGGGGGGAGGCAAAGGCUCAUUACUUUAUAAGAUUUUCAUUACUUUAUAAGAUUUCAUUUUACAUUUUACUUAAGUGUACUUGUUU